UACGUAGGGUGCGAGCGUUGUCCGGAAUUAUUGGGCGUAAAGAGCUUGUAGGCGGUCUGUCGCGUCUGCUGUGAAAAUCCGGGGCUCAACCCCGGACUUGCAGUGGGUACGGGCAGACUAGAGUGUGGUAGGGGAGACUGGAAUUCCUGGUGUAGCGGUGAAAUGCGUAGAGAUCAUGAGGAAGACCAGUGGCGAAGGCGGGUCUCGUGGACAGUUCCUGACACUGAGACACGAAGGCCAGGGGAGCAAACGGG
rnacentral:rRNA from 1 species